GGAGAGAGGGGCUAACGCUGCGCUCGCGGCGACCCCGGGGACCUGGAGGAAGCCGCCCAGAGUGCUUAGUGCGAGUCCGAGAUGGUCUGGGAUUCGAGACUGCAGAGCUGAGGACCGAGGUUUCUACGUCAGCGGGGCCCAGCGUGCGCUCCUCCGACCUACAAAGCACCUGGUGCACAGUGAAUUGCUCAACGGCCACUUAAUUCCUGCAUCUGCCAGUUUUCCGUCCAAGUUGCGGUAAAGACAGCACCAACAACUAACUUAAGUAGCAUAGCACACUCAUCUGAAAGCUGAAAGUAAACUGAAUACAAUCAUGGAAAACCAAAGAUGGAGAAUGGAGAAAUGCUCAAAUUCACAGCAUUUCUGCCUGAUGAGUACCUGAAACAGCACUCCACAAAAUCAUCAUUUGCUUCCACUACAUACAGAAGCGCUAUGGUAAAAAUCAGAAUAAGCAAAAACAGAGUCCUCUAAAGAGAAAGUGCUCUGGGACUGGCUGGGAGUAAAGCCUAGAAUAUUAGACUUGUUCUCAGGCACGUUUUUUUUGGAAGACUACUUUAUGUUCAUGAACAUAGACAAUGUGCAUCUAUUUGUCUCAAAAAAAUGUUCUUCUCUUUAUAAUCUACUUAAAAAGAAAAUUAAGCUGCACUUGUGUAAUCUGUGAGGAUAAAAUACUACUACAGGUUCCCCCUGCUUUUCAGAAGUCAAGUUACUCCACUUUUUUUUUUUUUAAUUUUAUUUAUUUACU